rnacentral:rRNA from 1 species
CCUACGGGGGGCUGCAGUGAGGAAUAUUGGUCAAUGGGCGAGAGCCUGAACCAGCCAAGUCGCGUGAGGGAGUACUGCCCUAUGGGUUGUAAACCUCUUUUGUCGGGGAGCAAAAGCCGGACGUGUCCGGCUUUGAGAUUACCUGAAUAAAAAGCAUCGGCAAACUCCGUGCCAGCAGCCGCGGUAAUACGGAGGAUGCGAGCGUUAUCCGGAUUUAUUGGGUUUAAAGGGUGCGCAGGCGGAUUUUUAAGUCAGCGGUAAAAUCGUGGGGCUCAACCCCAUCCAGCCGUUGAAACUGGGGAUCUAGAGUGUGCGAGGGGUAUGCGGAAUGCGUGGUGUAGCGGGGAAAGGCAAAGA